rnacentral:ribozyme from 2 species
GCCGUAAUGUAGCCGUUGGCGGUCGCAAGCCCGCAUGAGAAAUACAGAGCGAGGU